ACUUAAAUUGAAGAGUUUGAUCAUGGCUCAGAUUGAACGCUGGCGGCAGGCCUAACACAUGCAAGUCGAGCGGUAGCACAGAGAGCUUGCUCUCGGGUGACGAGCGGCGGACGGGUGAGUAAUGUCUGGGAAACUACCUGAUGGAGGGGGAUAACUACUGGAAACGGUAGCUAAUACCGCAUAACGUCGCAAGACCAAAGUGGGGGACCUUCGGGCCUCAUGCCAUCAGAUGUGCCCAGAUGGGAUUAGCUGGUAGGUGGGGUAACGGCUCACCUAGGCGACGAUCCCUAGCUGGUCUGAGAGGAUGACCAGCCACACUGGAACUGAGACACGGUCCAGACUCCUACGGGAGGCAGCAGUGGGGAAUAUUGCACAAUGGGCGCAAGCCUGAUGCAGCCA
rnacentral:rRNA from 1 species